rnacentral:rRNA from 15 species
CUGAUGUUGGGGAGUUUGGAGCGACGGGAAUACUCCAACUUAGUACCAGAGGAGCCCUUGGUUCAGAAUCUUUUGGCCAUUGGUGGUUAGCUGAAAAGCUAUUGCCCCCCCCCCCGUAUUUGUCAUAUUACGUCAUAAACCCGUUGGUCUUUUCUCACGAAAUACAAAAACUUGAUUUGUAAUAUGACCCU